rnacentral:rRNA from 1 species
UACAGAGGGUGCAAGCGUUAAUCGGAAUGAUUGGGCGUAAAGCGCGCGUAGGCGGUUAGAUAAGUUGGAUGUGAAAGGCUUGGGCUUAACCUAAGGACGGCAUCCAAAACUGACUAACUAGAGUUCAGUAGAGGGAAGUGGAAUUUCCAGUGUAGCGGUGAAAUGCGUAGAUAUUGGAAGGAACACCAGUAGCGAAGGCGACUUCCUGGGCUGAAACUGACGCUGAGGCGCGAAAGCAUGGGGAGCAAACAGGAUUAGAUACCCCCGUA